ensembl:snRNA U6 U6 spliceosomal RNA
GCUCAUUUCAGCAGCACAUAUGCUAAAGUUAUAACGAUACACAGAGGAUUAGCGUGGUCUCUAUACAAGGAGGACACACAAAUUUGUGAAAUGUUCCAUAUUCUG